GCUCUCUCGUCUUUCUUUGUCUUGUCUUGCUUCCAGUUCCGAGUUUGCUGUAUAGUGUGAUGGUUGGUUAUGUAUUGAGUGUGUUGUUCUGUAUAAAUAAUAUAUACUUUUUUUUUACUACAAAGUCUACUUUAUAAUAAUUUAAGUAAUCUAGUAGUGCAUAUGUUCGUAAUAACAAUAGUGGAGUAAAGGACGUGAUUUUGACUUUACGGGAAACAAAUGAUGUCAAGGAAGAGCGGGAGGCGUGACAACAGUGACUUUCAUUGAUAAAAUGGUGUUACGUAUUUUAUGCCUUGAAGAAUGUGACGUUACUCAGCAGAGCAGAGCCUGUCGGCGGGGGCAGAGCGGCCCGUGGAUGCCCUAGCAGCGGCGCCGCACAAUGGCCGCCUGGCUUCUGUGGAUGGUUGGGGGUCUGGUUCGUGAGUCUUCCCACUGCCAUGACUAGAUCCACACUCAUCCACAGCGGCCGGCCGACUGCUUCGCUGGCGCCGGUCCGCAACAUUCCUUCCGCGCUUUUAGAGUUACCUACUUCGCUAGCCACGGAGAACAGUUAAUUAAAUAGUCGAUUUUUUUUUUCUUUCAGAUUUCGAAUUGGACCUUACAAUAUUUAAAAAUUUUCCAAUUACUUUUUCUGUCAAAAAAUGAGUGAUGUGUCCAUUUUGAGGUUUUAUAUAGCGACAAGACUAGAUCUGUCGAGUAAAAAUUGUUAAGUCUUACUUGCUAAAUAAACUUUUUUUUGUCUCCAAGAAAAUGAUAAAAUUAAGAGUUUAGCAAUUUUUAAAGAAGUAGAACAUAUUUCAAUAAAAUGCCUGGCUGUAUUUAUACUGUGAGCAUUUUAAAAAAUGCCGUGAGUAAGGUCACAAAAUAUAUCUUAAAAAUAAAAGACGACUUUCAACGUAUUUUGGUUUAAGUUACUCGAAUGUGCUUCUCUUGAUAAAAUCGUCUUGAUCACAUUUAGAUAAAUAAAUGGUUUAACUUUGAUGUGAUGUUUUAAUAAGAGUUAGUACUACUCUACACAUUUAAAAGAUUUUUUGAGGGGUAGAAUUUUAUUUUUUUCAGGAUUGCAGCAUAAAAGAAAUGGUAGUUGAGAAAGUUACAUUUGUGUCAGUUUAAGUGUGAUGACGAAGUAACACGAAAAGGUAGAAAGAAAGACUAGUUAUUUUAUUCCUGCAACUCAGUGGAGUCCUUGAUAAAACAAACGUUGGGUGGUGUUUUUCCGAACAUGAUUUUUCUUGACAUGGCCAUGCCGUAAUGCAAACACAAAGCCACUUUUAACACAGGAUGCAGGAGGCCACCAAAAAGUUACUAAACUGAACAACUGGUUACAGGAAAAAAAAUAUAACUGUGUUCUGUAAGUCACAAAACUUUUUAAUUCUUUUGUUAACUAGUUUCGAUGUGCAACAUCUUAGCUCUGUGUAUAAGGCACAUGGUAGGAGUAAUUUCGUGAAUGUAACGGAAAUGUGUAACCAUGGUACUGCUAUCUGUGGCGGAUGGCGCAAACCAACGUUCAUAAAGCCAAAGUGAAACUUUAUAUAGUAUUAAUUGUUUAAUUUUAACAAGAUGGGCAAGUCUUUUCCACUGUUAUCAGAGCCGUUUCACUGCAUUGUUUAGAAUUUCGCUCAACCAUGUUGACAUUGCUACUCCAGCAAUUUCCUUCUGUGGUUGCGGAAACUAUGUGUAAUUCGUGUCCAGAAAUGUAGUUGAAAACACAAUUUUGCGUAUGUAUUUAUCACGCUCGGGAUUAUUUUAAGAAAUUCUACUUAAAUUUUGUGUCAGAGUUUUAUAUUAUUAGUGUAUUUUCAACAUGAGAACACAUGAAUUUUCUUGUUAUCAAGGUGGCGUGUUGCACAUCACUGACAAGUACUGAAAGACUCGCUCAUACAUUUUUUUUAUGUCUCACUUUCAUUUAUAGUCGCACAUUAAAUACAAACAGUUGGGGACAAUGUCCUGAAUGAUGUAGAAAUUAUCUGUGAAAAUGUUUUAGCUUGCUAACAUGAAAAUUGGCACAUUUCUGCAAAUAGUAAUUAUAUUUUGUAUUAUGAUUUACUAACUUAUAGGCCUAUAUAUAAAAAAGGCCUUGUGAUAUAAAUUUUUUUUUGUCACCAGAAAAGAAGUCUCUUAACACCAACAUUAAUACAAAUAAUUAAUAUAUUUCUUGACUGAGCCACAUUCAAUUUCCUCCGAGUGCCCUAUCGCAAAUCUGUUUUCUUCCCAUCUGAAGUUAAUAUGACCUCUAUUUUAUUGUGCACGGCUUAGCUGGGUUCCCCCCUCCCCCCAAAAACACCAAAAUUCCAUAAUUCUUGAAUUAUAUGAUUUUUUAAAAGUUUUUUAACUCCCGCUCUGCACCAAAUUUUUAGAUACUGUGGCUAAAUAUUUUUGCCACACAAUGAUUAAUAACCCUACUAUUGAUAAAAACUCAAAAUAAGAUCGAAUGUGCAAUACUUUUGUGUGGGGGGGGUUUCUUUGCAUGUCUCAUGCGGCAAAGAUUUUUAAUCGAAAAACUUUAAGACUAUUCAUGCUGUAAAAAAUUAGUUUGCUAACUUAUCAAAGUAUUUUUUUUCUUUACAGUAUAACUACUCAAAUUUACCUAUAAAAAAAUAUUUUGCCCCAUAAGUCUACCAAAUAAUUUUUCCCCUUAAAGUAGGCUAUAGCAUGUUUGAUUAUAUUUUAAAUUGGUAUCAAUUGUAUGGUUAUUUAUGAUGGUGUAUCAAACAAAUUUAGUCAUUAAUAGGAUCUAAUAAUUUGGUGCAGGAAGAAGAUUUAAAAACUUUUGAAGAAAUUUAUUAAACUCAAAACCUACAACAUUUAAAAAAAAAUUUAUUCAGAACCAUAAUUUACUGUCAUCGACUUGAUGUUGAGUUAUGUGACUUCCUAUAUGUGAUUCCAGAGAUGGCAGAAGAUGCACAUUGAAAACAAAACCAAAAA